CUGUUUCUCUGCAAUAUUCCCCAUCUUUCUCUUGUCUCGUAUAUAAAAGCCAAACACCCCCUUCUAAAACCCACCAAUUCCCACCUUCUGAUCCACUCCUCCCCGACUCUUAAUUUGCUGGUUUCUGCUUGCAAAUAUGAGUGAGACCAAGUAUGCUUAUCCAUACCCUGCACAAGGUUAUUAUGGGGAGCCUCCCCGCCUCCGGUGAUGGCACCACCGCCUCAGUACGCUGCAGCUCCGCCACCAAAGCCAAGCUUCCUUGAUGGAUGGUAUGAGGAAUCAGCUACUAAUACAUUUACUUGCAAUUGAUUUGAUUAAUAGAUUCUUCUAAGUUGUAACAGAAAAGAGAUUUUUGAUGCAUGUUGUAAUCCCACCCAUCAUUUUGUGAUAAGAAAUUGAGGCGGGGUUUUGUUUGGUGGUUAGCAGUGUGGAGGUCUUUGUAAUGAGAAAAUAAUUUUCUUUUUGAAUUGGGAUUGGGAUUUA